CUCCUCAGAGCUCUUUUCAUCUACUAGGCUGUACCCCGCCUGAUUUGAUUCGACUUCGCUCAUUUCUGGUGACCAGGAUGGGACCUGCUGGGACACCCGACUUGCUCCGGAGACUGCAGACGGAUCCUGGGAGAACAGGCAGAAGCUGGCAAAGGGUCACUACUGAAGACACUGUAGAACCUGCUGCUGAAGCAGUGACCACACAACAAAAAUCCCUACACCCUCUGGACGAAGUUGUUCUUGAUGAUAAGACAGCUCUGAUUAUCUUUUACCUGAGCAAGGAGGUGUCUGUACGAUUCCAACACCACUUGUUGCAUUUUGGAUUGACACUUCUGGAGAAGUUGAGACCUGGCUACCUAAAAUUGCUGA